UGAGAGCUGUGCCAACGGCAGGUCCCUGAGAUGUCUGCGUAGUUGUGGCGUCGAAGCGUUAGAGAGGAUGUUCAAGUAGUGCUUUUUGGUCAAGCAAGAUGGACAUGAUGUGGAGCCACGAGAAGGGACAGGUGCAUUUCCACUGAAAAGGCUUUCUGAACCUGUGAGGAUACAGACUGGGGAACUUUUGAGCUAAGGAUCUGCAACAGAAGCGGAAUCUUUAAAAACAGAAACACAAGGCUGGUUUUAAGAGAAGAUCCACUAAUAGGAUGUGGUAAAUACCGAACACUGGACCUGUAAUCCAAGUUUUGAUAAAAACCAAACAUCCAGCAGAGGAGGAAUGCCACGCCUCUCUUUCCAGAGCACUUAAGGCUCUCUACAAAAAGAAAAGUGCAGGGUGUGUGUAUGUGCGUGUUUGCUUUUCCCCAGUGCUCAGAUCCUAAACUAUUCCUAAAGAUUUUUCAGUACUUUGUUUUGCUAAGAUCUUUGUCCUGUGAGCAUUUCUGU